rnacentral:rRNA from 1 species
AGUGAACGCUGGCGGCAGGCCUAACACAUGCAAGUCGAACGGCAGCACAGUAAUAGCUUGCUCUUACGGGUGGCGAGUGGCGGACGGGUUAGGAAUACAUCCGAAUCUACUUUUUCGUGGGGGAUAACGUAGGGAAACUUACGCUAAUACCGCAUACGUCCUACGGGUGAAAGCAGGGGAUCUUCGGACCUUGCGUGAUUGAAUGAGUCGAUGUCGGAUUAGCUAGUUGGCGGGGUAAAGGCCCACCAAGGCGACGCUCCGUAGCUGGUCUGAGAGGGUGAUCAGCCACACUGGAACUGAGACACGGUCCAGACUCCUACGGGAGGCAGCAGUGGGGAAUAUUGGACAAUGGGCGCAAGCCUGAUCCAGCCAUACCGCGUGGGUGAAGAAGGCCUUCGGGUUGUAAAGCCCUUUUGUUGGGAAAGAAAAGCAGCAGGUUAAUCCCCCGCUGUUCUGACGGUACCCAAAGAAUAAGCACCGGCUAACUUCGUG